rnacentral:rRNA from 1 species
AUUGAACGCUGGCGGCAGGCCUAACACAUGCAAGUCGAGCGGAGGAAGGGAGCUUGCUCCUGGAUUCAGCGGCGGACGGGUGAGUAAUUCCUAGGAAUCUGCCUGGUAGUGGGGGAUAACGUCGUUAAACGGGCGCUAAUACCGCAUACGUCCUGAGGGUGAAAGUGGGGGAGCUUCGGACCUCAAGCUAUCAGAUGAGCCUAGGUCGGAUUAGCUAGUUGGUGGGGUAAAGGCCUACCAAGGCGACGAUCCGUAACUGGUCUGAGAGGAUGAUCAGUCACACUGGAACUGAGACACGGUCCAGACUCCUACGGGAGGCAGCAGUGGGGAAUAUUGGACAAUGGGCGAAAGCCUGAUCCAGCCAUGCCGCGUGUGUGAAGAAGGUCUUCGGAUUGUAAAGCACUUUAAGUUGGGAGGAAGGGCAGUAAGUUAAUACCUUGCUGUUUUGACGUUACCAACAGAAUAAGCACCGGCUAACUUCGUG